CAGCACCUCAAGUGGUCAGGAUGAUUAUUGGGCCUAAAGCAUCCGUAGCCGGCUCUGUAAGUUUUCGGUUAAAUCUGUAUGCUCAACAUACAGGCUGCCGGGAAUACUGCAGAGCUAGGGAGUGGGAGAGGUAGACGGUACUCGGUAGGAAGGGGUAAAAUCCUUUGAUCUAUUGAUGACCACCUGUGGCGAAGGCGGUCUACCAGAACACGUCCGACGGUGAGGGAUGAAAGCUGGGGGAGCAAACCGGAUUAGAUACCCGGGUAGUCC
rnacentral:rRNA from 1 species